CGGGGUAUAGCGCAGUCUGGUAGCGCGCCUGCUUUGGGAGCAGGAUGUCGGGAG
rnacentral:tRNA from 1 species